CCUUACUAUUAUAGCUCUCCUCCUCCACCGUAUGAGUAUAAAUCUCCACCGCCUCCCGUUGAAUCUCCUCCACCUCCUUAUGAAUACAAAUCUCCUCCCCCUCCGGUUAAGUCUCCACCACCACCGUAUUACUAUCAUUCACCGCCGCCGCCGGUGAAAUCCCCUCCCCCUCCUUAUGUUUACCACUCUCCUCCUCCUCCGGUGAAGUCUCCUCCACCUCCUUAUGUAUACCACUCUCCUCCUCCUCCGGUAAAGUCUCCUCCACCGCCAUAUUACUACCACUCUCCUCCUCCUCCGGUGAAGUCUCCUCCACCACCAUAUUAUUAUCACUCUCCACCACCACCAGUGAAAUCUCCUCCUCCUCCUUACUAUUAUCAUUCUCCACCUCCUCCGGUCAAGUCUCCACCACCGCCAUAUUACUACCACUCUCCACCUCCUCCGGUAAAGUCUCCACCACCACCUUACUACUACCAUUCUCCACCUCCUCCGGUAAAGG
rnacentral:lncRNA from 1 species